GACGAACGCUGGCGGCGUGCUUAACACAUGCAAGUCGAACGGAAAGGCCCUGCUUUUGUGGGGUGCUCGAGUGGCGAACGGGUGAGUAACACGUGAGUAACCUGCCUUUGACUUUGGGAUAACUUCGGGAAACUGGGGCUAAUACCGGAUAGGAGCUCCUGCUGCAUGGUGGGGGUUGGAAAGUUUCCGCGGUUGGGGAUGGACUCGCGGCUUAUCAGCUUGUUGGUGGGGUAGUGGCUUACCAAGGCUUUGACGGGUAGCCGGCCUGAGAGGGUGACCGGCCACAUUGGGACUGAGAUACGGCCCAGACUCCUACGGGAGGCAGCAGUGGGGAAUAUUGCACAAUGGGCGGAAGCCUGAUGCAGCAACGCCGCGUGCGGGAUGACGGCCUUCGGGUUGUAAACCGCUUUCGCCUGUGACGAAGCGUGAGUGACGGUAAUGGGUAAAGAAGCACCGGCUAACUACGUG
rnacentral:rRNA from 1 species